GAUGAACGCUAGCUACAGGCUUAACACAUGCAAGUCGAGGGGAAACGGCAUCGAAAGCUUGCUUUUGAUGGGCGUCGACCGGCGCACGGGUGAGUAACGCGUAUCCAACCUGCCCAUCACUUGGGAACAACCUUGCGAAAGUAAGACUAAUGCCCAAUGACAUCCCACGAAGGCAUCCGAAUGGGAUUAAAGAUUUAUCGGUGAUGGAUGGGGAUGCGUCUGAUUAGCUUGUUGGCGGGGUGACGGCCCACCAAGGCAACGAUCAGUAGGGGUUCUGAGAGGAAGGUCCCCCACAUUGGAACUGAGACACGGUCCAAACUCCUACGGGAGGCAGCAGUGAGGAAUAUUGGUCAAUGGGCGAGAGCCUGAACCAGCCAAGUAGCGUGCAGGAUGACGGCCCUAUGGGUUGUAAACUGCUUUUAUAAGGGAAUAAAGUGGGUCACGUGUGACUUUUUGCAUGUACCUUAUGAAUAAGGACCGGCUAAUUCCGUG
rnacentral:rRNA from 1 species